UACGUAGGUGGCAAGCGUUGUCCGGAAUUACUGGGUGUAAAGCGCGUGUAGGCGGGAGGCCAAGUCUGCUGUGAAAUCGCUCGGCUCAACUGGGCGGGGUCGGUGGAAACUGGUCACCUGGAGGACGGUAGAGGCGAGUGGAAUUCCCGGUGUAGUGGUGAAAUGCGUAGAGAUCGGGAGGAACACCAGUGGCGAAGGCGGCUCGCUGGGCCGGUCCUGACGCUGAGACACGAAGGCGUGGGGAGCGAACGGG
rnacentral:rRNA from 1 species